UAAUACGGAGGGGGCAAGCGUUGUUCGGAAUUACUGGGCGUAAAGGGCGUGCAGGCUGUUUCGUUAGUCAGGCGUGAAAUCCCCGGGCUUAACCCGGGAACUGCGUUUGAUACUGCGGAACUAGAGAUCGGGAGAGGGUAGUGGAAUUCCCAGUGUAGAGGUGAAUUUCGUAGAUAUUGGGAAGAACACCAGUGGCGAAGGCGGCUACCUGGACCGAUACUGACGCUGAGACGCGAAAGCGUGGGGAGCAAACAGGAUUAGAUACCCUGGUAGUCCACGCCGUAAACGAUGUGUGCUAGACGUCGGGGGUUACGCCUUCGGUGUCGCAGCUAACGCAUUAAGCACACCGCCUGGGGAGUACGGCCGCAAGGUUA
rnacentral:rRNA from 1 species